UUUCCGCUGCCAUCGUGCAAUGCGUCAUUCCACUUUUGGACGAGGUUAGGUAAGAACGGAUUUUAUAAUCGGUUUAUUUCCACGGGUGUUGCUGCUUUGUAACCAAUAAAUGUGCUUGUGAAAGGAAUUUUUAGUACAGUGAAAAUGUUUAAAAUAUUGGUUCAAAGUUUGGCGAAAAACUCGUGUGAAAGCCGAGCACCGUCACAAAUUGCCGCCGUGACGUGUGUAAAAAAUUCAUUGAUUUUACCAGCGGCCAAUAAUCAUACAUUUGCCACGAGUACUAUAGCACGACGCCAUUUUCUUUUUCUAACCAACAGAAGACCAGUGAGCUUUGCUUUUCAUCAUCACGAUCUAACAGCAGGCAGAAAGGACGCAUUAGCGGAGUAUAAACAGAUUAAGAAAUCAUUCUUAACAAAUUCUAGUGGAAUAAUCAACUCCGGUAGCUUCUACAGGUAUUUUCACAAGUCGAGCGAAAAUUUAGUGGAAGGAGAAGCGUCGUCUGCAGAAAAGCAAAAGUCUUCGGUAAAAACCAGCAAUAAACACUCGUUUACAAAUUCAUCUUUGUAUAUAGAUCCAGACGAAAUGGCACCUCAUGAUAGGAACUUUGGCGGUCGUGGUGCACGUGGUGGAGAUGAUCGUCAUGCCAGACAGGGAGGCGGUGGCAUGCGCAAUGGAGGCGCUGGCGGUAAUGGAGGUGAUUUCCACGGUGUGCGAAACGGUCGUGUUGACAAGAAUCGUGGAGGUGGUGGUGGCGGACGUGGAGGUAGCGGAGGUUUUGGUGGCGGUAGCGGUUUUGGUGGUGGAUAUGGAGGAGGCAAUCGUGGGGGCACCCAAGAUCUUACCCUCGGAAAUGUCGACUUCUCAAAUCUUGCACCAUUCAAGAAGAAUUUCUAUGAAGAACACCCAAUUGUUGCAAACCGUUCCCCGUAUGAAGUACAACGUUUUAGGGACGAACAUGAAAUCACCAUCCGUGGAAAUGCCCCUAACCCAAUUCAAGAUUUCAGCGAAGCCUAUUUUCCAGAUUAUGUAAUGAAGGAAGUACGCCGUCAAGGUUAUAAAGCGCCGACAGCUAUUCAGGCACAAGGUUGGCCAAUUGCUAUGAGUGGUUCGAAUUUUGUCGGUAUUGCACAGACUGGAUCCGGCAAAACCCUUGGGUACAUCUUGCCAGCGAUCGUACAUAUUAACAACCAGAAACCGUUAGAGCGGGGAGAUGGACCCAUAGCUUUGGUCUUGGCACCGACACGAGAAUUGGCUCAACAGAUUCAACAAGUUGCCACCGAAUUUGGCUCUUCAUCGUACGUUAGAAACACAUGCGUUUUUGGUGGGGCUCCAAAAGGAGGUCAAAUGCGCGAUUUGCAGCGUGGCUGUGAAAUCGUCAUUGCCACACCGGGUCGCUUAAUUGAUUUUCUUGCAAUGAAUGCCACCAACCUGAAGCGUUGUACAUAUUUGGUAUUGGAUGAAGCUGAUCGUAUGUUAGAUAUGGGCUUUGAGCCUCAAAUUCGCAAGAUUCUGUCACAGAUUCGCCCCGAUCGCCAAACACUUAUGUGGUCUGCUACUUGGCCCAAAGAAGUUAAGCAAUUGGCUGAAGAUUUUCUUGGCAACUACAUUCAAAUAAAUAUUGGUUCUCUGGAAUUAUCGGCAAAUCACAAUAUCCGCCAAGUCGUUGACGUCUGUGAAGAACAUGACAAAGAAGACAAGUUAAAGUCUUUGCUUUCUGAAAUUUACGAUACCAGCGAAAACCCAGGCAAGAUCAUAAUCUUUGUGGAGACCAAACGUCGCGUGGACAACUUAGUUCGUUUUAUUCGUAGUUUCGGUGUGCGCUGCGGCGCCAUUCAUGGCGACAAGUCACAGUCGGAACGUGAUUACGUCUUACGUGAGUUCCGUUCUGGAAAGUCAAACAUUCUGGUAGCAACUGAUGUCGCUGCACGUGGUUUGGGUAAGUUUUGCAGGUGCACUCGCUAUCAAAUCAUUUUAUUACAACAUCAUUUCCAUAUUUAUAAUGUUAUUAUUUACAUUUACAAAAUUUACUUGACCGUGAUUGCAAAAUAUUUUAAAUUUCUAUGACAAGAAUAAAAAAUGACCAGAUCAUUUGCAAUCACGUAUUCCAGUAAUUACAAUUGUAAGUAGCUACUCCAUUACAUCUAAUGAUCCUAGGCAUCUGACAAUGCUUCAACGAUAGAUCCUAAAUUUACUCGAACCAGUUCUCCAAAAUUCACUUUAGCUUUAGUGACAAAUAAGUCAUCAUAACUCUGAUAAAAGACAUAUUAAUCAAUUUGGAAUUUUUCCCUUCUUUUCCCCCAAAUCUAUUCUCCUAAUUCUUUUCGUUUACAGAGGCCGAUUAUUGUAGUAUGGUGGGGAUAAAAUGAUCAACUUUUGAAAUGACGCAAUUCACUAGGAUUGCGUUGAUAAGUGAACUCUUGAAUUUUUUCGCAAAAGUAUCCGCCGAAAAGCUCUUUGAACGGAGCGUUUCCAUAAAAGCUGAAUGAAAAGUGCGACGGUGGCGGCAGUACUUUGUCUACACAUUCCGAUGCAAAAGAGGGAUGUCGUCGAACCACCUGCUGCCACACGUUUGCACGCAUCGUCAUUGCACAUUUGAGGAGAGAUAUAAUACGCAACAGCAGAUGGAUACGCUUAUGUAACACGUACAACCUGUGCGACAAAGCGUUUCAGUGCAACUUAGCGUAUACACAAGUACUCCAGACUACAAAAAAGUAAAAGGCAGAAACAUUCGUCCAUAACACGCGAAAUCUAUGUCGCGUCGUCGUGUAAUUUUUUAUUCAUUUUGUGUUUUGUAUAAAAAUUGCCUUACAAAAAAAUAUAAAACCAGCUUUUUCUCCCAAUUUGGCAAUGUGCAUAAAGAGUUCUGCGGUACACAAUAUCCCUAUCAUCAUGCAGCAAAUGUGGCCUCUGCUAUCUUUUAUUUAAAGUGAUAGUAUUUUUCGAAACUAAAAAGUAUCGAUUUCGAAAAUAGAAAAUAAAUAUAGGAAUUUUCAAAGUAUUAAACAAAUGCCAAUCGAAGGGACAGAUUAUGUAAAUUCAAUAAAUUGUUUUGUUAGUAUUUUAUGUGAAUUUUCCUUUCUGGUACGUCAUAACGAAUCGCGUUAAAUCACACGCAGGCAAUCAAGAGAAACUCCAUACAACUAAAUGCAUGUCCAUCCUACAAUCGCUAUAAUAAUCGCAUGUGUUCUUUGACUGAAUCGUAUCGACUUUGUAGAAAAUAUUUCGAUUUGCAAGGAACAGGUUCAUUGCGCGUAAUUAAAUAAAAAAAUUAAAGAAAAACAUUUACGAAUAAAUUAGUUAAUAUCUGAAGUGAUCCGCUAUCAUUUUUGCUGGCAAUCUUUGAUCCUGUUCAACGCGUAUUCGCGGUAAAAAGCGCUCGGUUGUUGUAACGUGGCACGGCAUCGAAAAUGUUUUGCCUUACUCAUUCGAUAAAAGGAAAGGUUGUUUGUAUCAAACGAGCUGGUGGCGACCUUCUUUUGGACAAUAAACAAAUGUUGAGAAGCUGUUGCUGUUGUUCUAACUCUACCAUGGACAUCACAGAACACCAGUUCAUCAUUUGCUGCACGUCCAGAAAAAAGCGUCGUCGUCGUCUGCGGAUUCUUGAACAACACAUUCACAUUCCAUGAAAUGCCGAAAGUUCGUGAAAGGCAAAACGUAACUUAAAAAGUGCCACAAACGCAUCACAAUACCGCCGACAAAGGACACAUUUGCAACGUGGAUUUGUUUGUAUAAAAAUUGGAGGAUAUGCAUAUUAAUAUAAUGGUGAAGUGUGAGAAAACGACGGACAUUUACUGGCCGUCAUAGUUAAAUGAAGAUAACUACUCUUUGUCAACAUGCCUGCGGUAGUGGUUUUACCUGAACAUUGGCUGAUGGAUGCACGACGUCGGCGAGCGGCGCACAAACUCUACCACCAAAUAGUUGGAUGUGCGCUGAACUCCACUCGAGACGCAUUUAACUCGAAACUCGUGCGGAAUCGAGCUGCAUCGUUCGUCCAUCUUGUGUCCAUUUAAUGUUGAUUGAGAGAAAAAAGGGAGACAGAUUAGAAGGGAAAUACCCUGACUAUAUUUAAAGUUUAACCACAUGCUCUUCCACUCGUUUCGCUGAACGGGACGAGAGAAGAGUGUGAAUAUAAAUCGACUAUUUGAAGAUGUGGACGGUAUCAAAUAUGUAAUUAACUUCGAUUACCCACAAUCGUCAGAGGAUUAUAUUCAUAGAAUCGGACGCACUGGACGUUCCAACACAAAAGGCACUUCUUAUGCAUUCUUCACCAAAAAUAAUGCCAAACAGUCGAGAGCGCUGGUUGAUGUAUUACGAGAGGCUAAUCAGGAAAUUAAUCCUGCGCUAGAAGGUAUGGCGCGUAAUAACCGUGGAUUUGAUGGUGGUCGUUCCCGUUAUGGUGGUGGCGGCGGCAACUCCCGUUUCAAUGGCACCUUCCGAAAGGGCGCUAUUGGAGGCGGCGGUAAUGGUGGUGGUGGCCGCAGCUACGGUGGCGGUUAUGGCGGCAACAGCGGCGGAGGAUUUGCCGGCGGACGCAGCAACGGUUACAGCAAUAACAAUGGCAACAGCGGCGAAAACAGUUACGGUAGCCGCAACGCAGCCAGCAGUAGUAGUGGCGGCGGCGGCGGCAGACAGCAUACGCGCUUUGAUUAAAUAUACAAAUUAUGCUAGGAUAUAAGUUAUUAAUAUUAAUUUCUCAUUUAAAUGCAGUUUUACUUAAAUAUAACUACUAACAUUAAACUAAAACCCACUUUUGCUUCAAAUGUUGAAUUUUCUGGUUUGAACAGAAAUUACUCUAAACCUAGCCAAUAACUAAUAGUGAGGUUUAAGUCAGUUUACAUUUUAUAUAUUUUUCAAAUCUGCAUUUCUUUCAAUAACAAAAACGAGUUUAAAUUACUUGAAAAUCAAAAGUACAUGCUCUCGGGCGAGUCGUAAAAGAAAGAAAGAAAGAAAACGCAGCGUUUGGACCAGUAAUUAUUCCGAAUGUUUAAUCUUUGAAAAAUUUUGUUUGCUACGGGGCAACAUUUAAUGCUUCAUGAGCGUGUGCUUUUGCAAAAGUAAUUUGUGAUGAAGAAAAUUUAUUUAUAUUUAUAUUAAUUUUGCCCUGUAUAAAACGCGUAUUUGCACUCAGAAUGUAGCCGUAAAUAUCGUCAUACAUAGCGUCUAUUGUAUGUGUAGUCCUAAGUUAGCUUCAUCUAUCCAUGCGCCCAACCAUUAACUGGCACAAACUAUCAGUAUCUCUUUAAUACAUUAACAACAACAGCACAUUUUUAUAAUCUGUGCGCCUAGACUUCAAGUGACAUUUACAAGCAAAUGUAAAAAAAAAA